rnacentral:tRNA from 1 species
GCGGCUAUAGCUCAGUUGGGAGAGCAUCAGACUGAAGAUCUGAAGGUCCCGCGUUCAAUUCGAGGUGGGCGCA